UCUGCCUAUAGAGGCCUGGGGUCCCUUUGGCAGCACUUUUCUCAAGAAAGUAGAGUCGUGGACAACCAACUGCACAGGUUGGGAGGCUUUGAAGAACAAGCUGCCAUGAAUCCUGCAGCUACAAGGAAAUGAACUCUAUUAACUUGAGUGAGCUUAAAACUAGAUCCUUCCCCAGUCAAGCCUCCAGGUGAGAAUUCAAUCCUGGCUGGCACCUGGAUUGCAGCUUACAGAAGACCCAGCUAAGGCCAUGUCUGGACUUUAAAUCCACAGGAACUGCAAGAUGGUAUCAGAAGUGGGACCUGCAGUGGGGCAUCUAGCAACCCCCAGGAGCAUUGAGUGACCAGGCUUGGGACCCACCGGGCGCAGGGUGUCCAUUGUUCUCUCGAAGCAACUGAGAAUUGUGGAUAUUCUUCAUUAUUCCAUCAUCAUCUCAAACCUCUUGGGUAUAGUGUUUGACUACUACUGUGACCAUAAAUUCCAAUAAAACCUAGGAAAAAUGAAACCACUACAUUAACUGAAAGGGUCAGGUGGAGCCCACAUAUACCUGCAGUCCAUGCAUUGAUAGUGAAUAACACAUGAGAAUUGAAGCUCCAGUUAUGUAAAUCAAAAGAAGGCAAUAGGAGACAAACUUAUGCUUCCAGGAAAAUGGAGUAGACAUACUUCUCCCAAUUCUUUCUACUAAGUACAGCUAAAAACCUGGACAUUAAAUAUAAAAUAAAUGCAAAAAUACCCUGAAUGUUGGAGAGAAGAAAGCAGA
rnacentral:lncRNA from 1 species